ensembl:snRNA U6 U6 spliceosomal RNA
GUGCUCACUUACCUCAAUAGCAUAUAUACUAAAAUUGGAAAGAUACAGGGAAGAUUAGCACGGCCCCUGCACAAAUUUGUGAAGUGUUCCAUUAAAAA